rnacentral:tRNA from 1 species
AAAAUUUUAGUUUAAACUUAAAACUUUUCUUUUACACUGAAAUAAUUAAAUUAAUUUUUAAAAUUUUA